UCUGGAGGCAGUGGCGCGGUCCUGUAGUCCCAGCUACACAGGAGGCUGAGGCUGUAGGGUCGAUUGAGCCCAGGAGUUCUGGGCUGUAGUGAGCUAUUCCCAUCGGGUGUCCGCACUAAGUUCGGCAUUAAUAUGGUGACCUCCCCGGAGCGCGGGACCACCAGGUUGCCUAAGGAGGGGUGAACCGGCCCAGGUCGGAAACGGAGCAGGUCAAACCUCCCGUGCUGAUCAGUAGUGGGAUCGCGCCUGUGAACAGCCACUGCACUCCAGCCUAGGCAACAUAGCGAGACCCCAUCUCU
rnacentral:SRP_RNA from 1 species